GAUGAACGCUGCCAGAAUGCUUAACACAUGCAAGUCAACUGUGGCGGACGGGUGAGUAACGCGUAAAGAACUUGCCUCACGGAUAGGGACAACAUUUGGAAACGAAUGCUAAUACCUGAUCCUGUGAGAGAGCUUUGCGUCCCAUUAGCUAGUUGGUGAGGUAACGGCUCACGAAGGCGAGGAUGGGUAGCCGGACUGUGCGGGUGAUCGGCCACAUGGGGACCCGGACACGGCCAUUACUCAUGCGGGAGGCAGCAGUGGAGAAUAGUGGAUAAUGGACCAAAGUCUGAUCAAGGAAUGCUGUGUGCAAGAUGAAGUUUUCGGAAUGUACAGUGCUUUGAGUGAGGAAGCGGUACCUACAGAAGAAGUGACGGCUAAAUACGUGCCAGCAGCCGCGGUAAUUC
rnacentral:rRNA from 1 species